CCUACGGGAGGCAGCAGUGGGGAAUAUUGCACAAUGGGGGAAACUCUGAUCCAGCGACGCCGCGUGAGUGAAGAAGUAUUUCGGUACGUAAAGCUCUAUCAGCAGGGGAGAAAAUGACGGUACCUGACUAAGAAGCCCCGGGUAACUACGUGCCAGGAGCCGCGGUAAUACGUAGGGGGCAAGCGUUAUCCGGGUUUACUGGGUGUGAAGGGAGCGUAGACGGCAGCGCAAGUCUGAAGUGAAAGGCCAUGGCUUAACCAUGGAAAUGCUUUGGAAACUGUGCGGCUGGAGUGCAGUAGAGGUAAGCGGAAUUCAUAGUGUAGCGGUGAAAUGCGUAGAUAUUAGGAGGAACACCAGUGGCGAAGGCGGCUUACUGGACUGUAACUGACGUUGAGGCUCGAAAGCGUGGGGAGCAAACAGGAUUAGAUACCCCAGUAGUC
rnacentral:rRNA from 1 species